rnacentral:rRNA from 1 species
CAGCCGCGGUAAUUCCAGCUCUCAAAGUGUAUAUCGUCAUUGCUGCGGUUAAAAAGCUCGUAGUUGGAUCUGAGUCUCUGGACGCGGUGCUCCUUGUGAGUAACUGUGCUCCGUGACUGUAUUGUCGGUUUGCCUUGGUUUGCCUUAACCGGUAGGCCUUGGUGGCUGGCGUGUUUACCUUGAAUAAAUUAGAGUGCUCAAGACAAGCGUUUCGCUUGAAUAUCCGUGCAUGGAAUAAUGGAAUAGGACUUCGGUUCAUUCUGUUGGUCUUGGAACCGAAGUAAUGGUUAAGAGGGACUGACGGGGGCAUCCGUAUCGCUGCGUGAGAGGUGAAAUUCUUGGACCGCAGCGGGACGUCCAACUGCGAAAGCAUUUGCCAAGAAUGUCUUCAUUAAUCAAGAACGAAAGUCAGAGGAUCGAAGGCGAUUAGAUACCGCCCUAGUUCUGACCGUAAACGAUACCAACUAGCGAUCAGGUGCUGAUAGUUUAGUCGCGCCUGGGAGCUUCCCGGAAACGAAAGU